GACAGAGGCCUCAAGCGUUAGGCGGAAUCACUGGGCUUAAAGCGUGUGUAGGCGGGUCGUUAAGUACCUUGUGAAAUCCCACGGCUCACCCGUGGAACUGCUGGGUAUACUGGCGAUCUUGGGCCAUUCAGGGGCAACUGGAACAAGCGGUGGAGCGGUGAAAUGCGUAGAUAUCCGGAGGAACACCAAUGGCGAAGGCAGUGUCCUGGGAAGUACCUGACGCUCAGGUGCGAAAGCUAGGGGAGCGAACAGG
rnacentral:rRNA from 1 species